AAUGGCAUUUUUUUUUUUUUUUUUGCUGCUUAGAAUAUUUCUGUUCCAUUGGAUUAUCAGAGUUCUUAAAUUAAUGCAACAAGAACUAUUCACAACUGCUAUAGAUUAUUUUUAAAAAUAAAAACACAUUUUUCCACACUGUUUUGACCCAAUGUUUUUCUGUCAUAAUGUUGUAGAGAUAAAGAAGAGCCAGGAAUGUUAGACUUGGUUCUGGCUUAUCCACUGUUGAAGAAUGUCAGUAAACUUCCUUAUUAGAAGAUAUCUUUUGUUGUAAUCCAAUGUGUCAUGUAACAAUGUAAAAAAUACUCAUCCAAGUUGCUCAGUGUUUUUGAAAUAGCCCCCCAGAAUGAUAGCGUGGGCUAGUUUUUUCUGUCCUGUUUGAUCUGAUG